GACGAACGCUGGCGGCGUGCUUAACACAUGCAAGUCGAACGGUAAGGCCCUUCGGGGUACACGAGUGGCGAACGGGUGAGUAACACGUGGGUGAUCUGCCCUGCACUUCGGGAUAAGCCUGGGAAACUGGGUCUAAUACCGGAUAGGACCCUGGGAUGCAUGUCCUGGGGUGGAAAGCUUUUGCGGUGUGGGAGUGGGCCCGCGGCCUAUCAGCUUGUUGGUGGGGUGAUGGCCUACCAAGGCGACGACGGGUAGCCGGCCUGAGAGGGUGACCGGCCACACUGGGACUGAGAUACGGCCCAGACUCCUCCGGGAGGCAGCAGGGGGGAAUAUUGCACAAUGGGCGCAAGCCUGAUGCAGCGACGCCGCGUGAGGGAUGACGGCCUUCGGGUUGUAAACCUCUUUCAGCACCGACGAAGCGCAAGUGACGGUAGGUGCAGAAGAAGGACCGGCCAACUACGUGCCAGCCGCCGCAGUAA
rnacentral:rRNA from 1 species